AAUGAACGCUGGCGGCAUGCCUAACACAUGCAAGUCGAACGAAGGCUUCGGCCUUAGUGGCGCACGGGUGCGUAACGCGUGGGAAUCUACCCUUGGGUUCGGAAUAACUCAGAGAAAUUUGAGCUAAUACCGGAUGAUGUCGAGAGACCAAAGAUUUAUCGCCCAAGGAUGAGCCCGCGUAGGAUUAGCUAGUUGGUGGGGUAAAGGCCCACCAAGGCGACGAUCCUUAGCUGGUCUGAGAGGAUGAUCAGCCACACUGGGACUGAGACACGGCCCAGACUCCUACGGGAGGCAGCAGUGGGGAAUAUUGGACAAUGGGCGAAAGCCUGAUCCAGCAAUGCCGCGUGAGUGAUGAAGGCCUUAGGGUUGUAAAGCCCUUUUACCCGGGAUGAUAAUGACAGUACCGGGAGAAUAAGCUCCGGCUAACUUCGUGCCAGCAGCCGCCGUAACAC
rnacentral:rRNA from 1 species